UAUUAUAAUAACCAUUUUAUUAUUGCCUCUUGGGCAUAUCUCCAACAAGGCUUACUAGGGACUCCUUGUUGUUUACAUAACACACAUGUAUCAAUGUUUCGGUUAAUACAAUUAUGGCAUGGGAUGUAAACAUUUAUCAUGAACACUAAGAUAUAACAAUAACUAAUUUAUUAUUGCCUCUUGGGCAUAUCUCCAACAGUCUCCCACUUGCACUAGAGUCAAUAAUCUAGUUUACAUUUGAAAAGAUAUAACACCUUGGCCUUCUGGUGCUUAUCAUGUUUUGCUCACGGGAGAGGUUUUAGUCAACGGAUCUGACACGCUCAGAAACGUAUGUAUUUUGCAAUUCAUUUGCGUCUCAACGUAUCACUCAUUUUCCAAAUGAGUCGGCAUUAAUUUUAUAUGCUUAGUCCUAUGGUGGAACCUUAAUUCCGCGGUCUGAAAAUAAGUCACUAAUAUUGUCAUACACAAUAUAGCUUCAAAGUUCAGACACUAUCGGAACUACACCAAGUUCUCAAAGAACUCCUUAACUUAACAUCCUCAGUCAUUGUCAAAACAAUGACAUACUCUGCCUUCGUUUGUAGAAUCCGUCACAAUAUUUAGAACUGAUCUAAAUCUAGCAUAGACUUCUUCUAGCUCAUUGUGCUACCUUUUAAACAACACUUAGCCUAAUUGAGAUUUGAAAUUCAUUUUUAUAUGUGACCAAACUAAUAUCGGUGCAACACCUUACAGCGAUUUGUUUGACAUUACCCCAUACAAAAACUAUAUAUAUAUAUAUCCUUGGUUCUUCUAAAGCACUCAGGGAUAUUCUUACUGUUGUCCAAUGAUCAUUACAUGAAUCAUUCUGGUAUAUGCUCGUAACACUUUAGAGCACAGGACAUCUGACUUUGUACAUAUUAUUCGUGAUCUAAAAUCACUCAUGUGCUUUUACUCAUCGAGUGUCAAAUACACUCAAGUCUUGUUAAACCUUCACAUGGAAAGGAACACCUUCUUAAUAUUUUUAUAUUGAACUACUUCAAUAUUCAUUCUAUGUACUUUGACUUAAACUUAUUAUGUGUUUCAAUCUAUCUUCAUAGAUCUUAACACUAAAUAUGUUUCAGUCCAUAUCCUUUCAUUGAAGUUAAUUCUCAAUGAAACCUUUUAAUCAAGUAUAUAAUUACAUCAUUUAUAACCAACUAUAUGUCAUCUACAUAAAGUAUUAUAAACAUGUCUCAGCGCUCCCUCUUAAUUUCUUGCAAAUGCAAGCAUCUUCAUCGUUUCUGAUGAAAUCAAAACUCUUUGAUUAUUUCAUCCGGUGAAGAUUCCAACUCCGCGAUACUCACUUCAUCCAAUUGAAGUUUGUAUACCUAUCUAGUAUUCCACGGACCAGAAAAACUCUUGGUUGUAUCUGGUAUACAUCCUUCAUACAUACUUCUGGUAAGGAAUGUAUUUCUGCCAUCCUACUAUCAUACCUCAUAAAAGAAAUAUGUAGCGAUUCCUAGAAUAAUCCACAUAGACUAUAAGCAUUGCCACGGAAGAUCUAAUCUUAUCGUAGUCAACUCUUUGAACUUUGUCGUAAACAACUUUUCGAUAAGUCAAGCUUCUUUAAGGAUAUUCCAUCCAAGUCCAUCUAUUUUAUAGAUCCAUUUCAUUUCAAAAAGUAUUUACCUAUCUUGGAUUUCAUGGCGCACAGCCAUUUUAACGGAGUCAGGGCCCAUCAUAACUUCUUUGUAUGUAGUUGGUUUAUCAUUGUUCAAAAACAAUCCUUUGUCCACAAAUCAUUUAUUUGAUCACAAAAUAAACCACAUCUACAAGGUUCAAUAAGUACUUUGAUCUCCAUGACUAUAACACUUUGUAGACAUGGGAGCCAUGAUCUUCGUAGCUGCUUCCGGAACCAUUUUCGAUGUUGUGCUACUCUGAUCAUCAUGCUCAGGUUCAUAAGUACUAUAUUAAAGUGUAACAAACUUCUUUUUUGUAAGAAUUUUGAACCUUGCUGGGAAUUAACCUUGCGUGUGCUUCCGGUUCUUUGAUUUCCGUUGCCUUUUUUUCGUGUACCAUUUGAUGUUGUCUAGCAGUUUAGGGUAACAGGCUACUACUUCACUGGUUGGUUGCUGUGGUAUGUAGCUGGUGUGGCCAUAGGUACAAAGUAGACUGGGCUGUGUGGGCCCGAUAGCACCGCUUUGACGAUGAGUUUUGUCUCCCACGUGGUCAGUAUCUCCAGAAAUUCCCCUUCGCCUCUCUCUCAGUUCAUAUCUCUCCCAUAGAUGCGAGCAAAGUGUGCAGCCGGAGAUAAGGGUUGCAGCGGAAAAAGCGGGAGGCAACGACGGCGGGGAAACCCUUGCGGCGCGGCGCACGAGCGCGCAAGAUCAUCGUCCGUCCACCUCCACCGUUCUGCCCCAUGCCCGAGCCUCCCGCCCUGAUUUCCCCUGAUGUGGAGGUUGACUACCGGCGGGGAACGCCGACAGCCCUCGCCGACGUUUUCGAUGCUGCUGUCGUGGUUCUUGCGGCAAGUGUCCGGCGAUGUCCUGGGCCGGUGCGAGGAAGAGGCCGGACAUGCCGUUGUCAUGGCACAACGCGACGCCAAGCCGUGCCAGCCACGUCGUGGCCCCGAGCGGCCGCUGAAGCCGGCGGAGGAUCCGACGGUGCCCACCGGCAGGGACCACCUCGGGUAUGGAAAAUUAUGCUGUCGGCCACUAGCGAAAGCCCGUAGCAAUUCCAGCUCAAAGCGCAGGGAGCGGAGCAGCGCACCGACGAAGGGGAUCCUGGUGGCUGCUGUCCACAGGCCCGUGGUGAUGAGCAGCUGAUCUACUGUUACAUGUCGUGGGGAUCCCGUCAAUUGGCGGUUCCUGGUAACAGAGGGUUGUAGUCGUCUCUUCUUGGUCGCCGACGCCCAACCACACCGGUGGUUAUUGGCUUGGGAUAUUGCAUCCGGUUUCUCCACUUCUGAAGUUCUUGUGCAAAAUUUAUGGGUUUUGUCAGUCAUGCUGGUUGCUUGUGUCGCGGUAAGUGCCUGCUUUGCAUCAUCAUACUGCUGGUAUGUUCAGUUUUAAUCUUUGAUGUUUUUGAUUCUAUGGACCAACAGUGUUGGUACUGGCAUAUACUAGCAUCUGUUGUUAUCUAAUGUCUAUUCUCCAUUGGUAAUCUCGUGCUCCUGCUCUUUACCUCUAGCCCAGAGCUCUAUGGUUCAGAUGGCGCUGUACUUUGGCCUGUAUGGCCCGGUCAGGGAUUCUGUUGUUGGCCAUCCAUCGUCUCUACCUGUUAAUCCCGGUUUGUGAGUCUUUUUUUUUUCACCUGCUAACCCAGUCUGCCGAGUGCCGAGGCAUCGAAUUCUUCUUGGCAAACGGCCGCUUGAGUGUUUAGAUGGUAACACUUUUCACCUUUUUCAGGUCAUUACAUCGUUGAUGUUUUUGUUUCCUGGCGAUCUGGAAUAUGUUGCUUGCAUUUGGAUUUAGAAACAUGCUAAUACCGUGGUUCACGUUUCAUGCUCCAAAAUAUUUCCACUAGAUUGCACAAGAUGGGACUGUAUAUAAGAACUGUGCACAACAAUUGCACUAUGAAAUUAUAAAAUGUACUUGAUUGCACAAGAUGGGCCUUAUAUGAGAACCGUGGACUCACUCAAAGUUGUUUGGCUAUUGGCAGUCAGGUUUGCACAAAUAUGAUAAGAUUUUACUGAGCUUGUGAUUAUUUAGAUAUAUUAUAUAUCUACCAUUAAAGCUAUUGAUUCUUCUACAUUAGGUAGUUCAUCUUGCAACAAAUAGAGCUAGAUUCUUUUGCUAUUUUCAACAAUCACAACAGGGUAUAAUCUCUUUGAUUUUGUAUCACACUGACAUAGAGUCUCAUCUUUGGUUUGCACAUGAUAAUCCUUCUUGUUUAAUAUUACACCGGGAUAGAAUUUGGUCUUUGAGAAUAACUAGCCCCCUCAAAUGGUAUUGAGAAAGGACCUUUUUUGUUCCCAACAUGUAGCCACACUACGGCUGCAGCGGGCACGUCGUGCAAAACAUAAGCAUGUUGGUAAAGAUGUUUUUUUGGUUGAUUCUUUCCAGUAUUGUUGUUUACUCUUCUCUAGGUUGAAUCUGUCACAAAUGCUGGUGAGAUGGAAGUCAUCAUUGCUGCUGGUUACUGCUGGUUGUUCUAUUAGUAUGUCUUUUUCCUCCAAUUUUGAUUGAUUGCGUUUGUUUAAUUUUUGGGUGUGCUUUUAUCCUUUACUUCUACUCCAUUACUUGGGAUUAAUUUGGUUAUUAUGCUUAUCUCAUACACAAUUAUUCAUCUAGAUGCAGGUUGUUGUGCUUUGUGUUGUUCCUACAAUUUUCUACACCUAUGGUACCCCAUCAACGUGUCAAAUUCACGAUCCUAUAAAGCGGAAUGAUCUGGUCUAAUAAACAUGAAUAAGGCAAUGACAUGUCCCAGUACGCGUUGGUAUGGCAAAUGUAUUAACCGGGUUCUUUACCACUUGACCCUUUUCAGUGUAGCAAUAAAUAAUUUUUUUGUACAAUACUUAGUAACCAUAUAACUCAUGUUUGUUCAUUGGUCAUUUGGUAAGUGUAUCAUCUAUAUAUAUUUAUUUUAUUUCAUGUUAUUUGCAAAUAAGAGCUGAAGUGUUUUUUUUUUCUAAAAGUUUGGUAUGCAACGCCAACACUCUUAUAUUCCUGUCUAACACACUUAGGUUUUUAUGUACUUUGUUAUUUACUUAGUUUUUGAAUGUAGCCAAAUUUUCGUAUGUGAUAACUCUCUUAUAUCCAUUUGUCUUAUAACUCAUGUUUGUUCAUUGGUCAUUUGGUAAGUGUAUCAUCUAUAUAUAUUUAUUUUAUUUCAUGUUAUUUGCAAAUAAGAGCUGAAGUGUUUUUUUUUCUAAAAGUUUGGUAUGCAACGCCAACACUCUUAUAUUCCUGUCUAACACACUUAGGUUUUUAUGUACUUUGUUAUUUACUUAGUUUUUGAAUGUAGCCAAAUUUUCGUAUGUGAUAACUCUCUUAUAUCCAUUUGUCUUCAAGCGUUGUAUGUAUUCCCAGUGGCUAUGCAUUACAUUUUCUCUUGGGAUAACAUUUAAUCACUAUAAGUCUAUAAUGACUCGACAAAAUUCUUCGAUGUGAACGGACAUAUUUAUUUUUAUGUCUAGCUGAACACCGCCCCGGACCCCUGUAAUUUUGUGUGUGUGUAGUUUCUCAGAAUAUGUGUCAGAAAAUUAUCGAUUCAUAUCUUGAAAUUGAGCUCAGGCUAAGUUGGUACAUUUGCAGUAGUUAAUUAUUUGCAGUCACAUUGUGAUGAAAUAUUUAACUAGAAGUGCGACCAACCUUAGAUAUUGUAUGCACCUGGGUGCAAUUUUCGAUGUUUAAAUUGGCUAAUUGGGCAAGAGCCCUUUUUACUCUUGCAGAAUAUUCUAAACCAAUGAAUUUGAUAAUUUAAGAGAACCUGAUGUAUACGAUUUUUAAAACUGUUAUUCACCAUUGUUUUAUGUUUAAAAAUAUUGGUAUAUGGCCCAUGAGGAAACCUACUGAACAGUGCUAUCAGUUAUUGAAUUUUUCGUGAUGUGCUUGCACUCUUUCUUGGGUGACAACGGAGAUUUAUCUUCUGAAACUCAAACACCGUUAUGGUUACUAAUGAGGUAGACACUUUCAUGAAUCCUGUUGUGAUUGGCAAUGCUACUGGUGUGUAUACUUAUAGCAGCAAAUUGAUUCGGCACAAGGAAGAAAAUUUAUCGAGCUAUAGGGAGAUCUCAGUAGUCCAACAUCAGACCAUGCCAGCUUGCUAACUAUAGUUUUGGAUUACUUUCUUUGGAAAUCAUGGGUAUUAAAGUUUUAGCAUUUCUUCGUUAUUACAUUAUGCUGAUGGUCCUGCAUUACUGGACAUUUCUGGGUUGGCGCUUUCUUCUAAUUUCGGUGCUUCUAUUUCAUCUGGGUGCCUAUGCUUCGUGCCUACUGAUCUUGAGGAAAAAUACUUAGUUCCUCAUGUCUGUGCUACUGCACUUUGUUGCCAAACGUCUUCUAAGUUUAGGAAUAAGACAUGUGCAUGCAGUUCAAGUUUCUAAAGAUUUAAUAUAGUAUGGUAUAACAAUAGGACAUGUGCAAUUGUGCACAAAGUGAUAGCUCAUCUUUUUUAGAGUUAAGAUUUUCAAUAUAAAUUCCUGAGUUGUUGUGGUGAGUCUAAAGUUGAUUCCUACUGCUUGCGUUGCCGCUCCACUCUUUCUUCUUUGUGCACGCAUAGUUCUGAGAGAGGUGAUAGGUAAUCAAGACGACAGACAAAGAAAUUAAUAGUUGCAUGUUUUUUCAUCAAUCAUUUUGUGGGAAGUGCACUUUCUCAGAGGAAACAUUUCCAUGUGACCUGGAUUAAUAGCUAGCUUAGCUGAAAUAAUCUGAGUGGACCGCAGGGAUGAACAAGAAGAUAUAUGGAGGGCACCAGUGCUAGGCCUGGAGCCAUGGUGACCGUCAACGCUUAACAGUGCCAAGAUGUAGAAUGUCUGGUCCUCUACAGGACAAAGCAGCACACAUUGUUGUGGACGCCACAUGCAUAUGUUGGCCUUAGACGUCAGCUGCCCAAAUUCAAGAGAUAUAUGGUGCUGCUAUUUAGCAGGCAACUUAUUUACUUUAUCAUUUCUACCUGCUUCUCAAUUGUACUUGGUCAUGUAGACCAUGAUAUCAGUACAUGGCUUCCACAGUAUCACUUCACUACAAUCUCUUAAUAUGUAAUAUGUGUCUUUUAUCAUUUUUUACUCUAUUCUUAACUGUACUCAGGGCCUGUGCAUCAGAUCAAUUGGCCUGCGCAAAUCUUGAACUUAUAUUUAAUAUUCAAGUCAAGUACA